rnacentral:rRNA from 1 species
CUACGGGGGGCAGCAGUGGGGAAUAUUGCACAAUGGGCGCAAGCCUGAUGCAGCCAUGCCGCGUGUAUGAAGAAGGCCUUCGGGUUGUAAAGUACUUUCAGCGGGGAGGAAGGGAGUAAAGUUAAUACCUUUGCUCAUUGACGUUACCCGCAGAAGAAGCACCGGCUAACUCCGUGCCAGCAGCCGCGGUAAUACGGAGGGUGCAAGCGUUAAUCGGAAUUACUGGGCGUAAAGCGCACGCAGGCGGUUUGUUAAGUCAGAUGUGAAAUCCCCGGGCUCAACCUGGGAACUGCAUCUGAUACUGGCAAGCUUGAGUCUCGUAGAGGGGGGUAGAAUUCCAGGUGUAGCGGUGAAAUGCGUAGAGAUCUGGAGGAAUACCGGUGGCGAAGGCGGCCCCCUGGACGAAGACUGACGCUCAGGUGCGAAAGCGUGGGGAGCAAACAGGAUUAGAUACCCCCGUAGUC